rnacentral:lncRNA from 1 species
UUUUGUAGCUGGAAAUAGGGGAUUCUUCCUCUACCGGCCAUUUCUACAGCCCCAUUUUUCUAUCUUCUUCUUAUUUGCAGGUCUAGGAUUCGGGCGAAGAAGACGAGAUGUGGCCAUAUCCGUAUCCAUCACCGUAGAAGUACCGACCCACUCAGGUUACUCUUUUACAUUGGCGCCAUCCGUGGGACAAGACACGAACCACGUCUCGCUAUUCUUUCCUACCCAGAUUUCUAGAUCUGUGUUUUUUUUCAUCGGUUACGAGAGGCGGAAAUCUGUUGCCGUGCAACACCUUCUCAAAUAAUAAUUUUGAGAUUCAUGUUCGCUGAAUAAGGUCACCAAAGCCAUGCGUUUUGACCCAAGCAUCUCGGUUUACGGGCCGAACGGUACCCAAGUAUACAAUU